GUGAGUCAUCGAAUCUUUGAACGCACCUUGCACUCUUGGGUAUUCCUAGGAGUAUGUCUGUUUGAGUGUCGUGAAUCUCUCAAAACCCCCUUUUGUUUAAUUACAAGAGAGUUUGGGCUUUGGAUGCUGAUUGUUGUCGACUUAAUUGUUAACUCAAUCUAAAUAUAAAAGCUGAAGCUAAUGAUAAUAUUAGAUCAGACUUUUGAUUUGGCGUAAUAAUUAUUUCGCUAUUGAUCUUGUUUGAUAGUUAUCGUCAAGCGGGCUAAUAAAACACAUCUUUCUAUUAGACCUCAAAUCAGGCAGGACUACCCGCUGAACUUAA
rnacentral:rRNA from 1 species